AUAUCAAUAAGCGGAGGAAAAGAAACUAACAAGGAUUCCCCUAGUAACGGCGAGUGAAGCGGGAAGAGCUCAAAUUUGGAAUCUCACUGGUCUCCAGUGCGAGUUGUAGUUUAUAGAAGUGUUUUCGGUGGACGCCUGGGUAUAAGUCCUUUGGAACAGGGCAUCAUAGAGGGUGAGAAUCCCGUCCAUGACCCAGAGUUGUUCACUAUGUGAUACACUUUCGAAGAGUCAGGUUGUUUGGGAAUGCAGCCUAAAAUGGGUGGUAAAUACCAUCUAAAGCUAAAUAUUGGCGAGAGACCGAUAGCGCACAAGUA
rnacentral:rRNA from 1 species